rnacentral:rRNA from 1 species
CAGCCGCCGCGGUAAUACGAAGGGGGCUAGCGUUGUUCGGAUUUACUGGGCGUAAAGCGCACGUAGGCGGAUCGAUCAGUCAGGGGUGAAAUCCCAGAGCUCAACUCUGGAACUGCCUUUGAUACUGUCGAUCUGGAGUAUGGAAGAGGUGAGUGGAAUUCCGAGUGUAGAGGUGAAAUUCGUAGAUAUUCGGAGGAACACCAGUGGCGAAGGCGGCUCACUGGUCCAUUACUGACGCUGAGGUGCGAAAGCGUGGGGAGCAAACAGGAUUAGAUACCCGAGUAGUCCCUGUCUCUUAUAC